UACCCAUGGUGUGGAAAACUCUUAUGUAGUCCUUUGAAUCACUCCAAGGCUUUAGAUAAGGAUUCUUCCUCAUAUUGAGCAAAAUUCCCAAUUUCUCUUAUUAGCUU
rnacentral:snoRNA from 1 species